ensembl:lncRNA
GAGAAACAGGAGCGGAGCCUCAGGGGGCAUUUCCUGGGGAGGAGGCCCAGGGGAGGUGGAGGAGGCCCUUGGGCAGGCUGGGACUGGCCAGGACACCACAGGGUUGCCAGGUGACAGACAACAGCGUGCCGAGCAGCUCCGGGGUGCACUGUGCCUCCUCCCAGGGAGGUUCCUCUCCGUGCCCCCCGGCCAUCACAGCGCAGGCAGCUGAGCCCGGCUGCAUCCCGCUUGGGACGUUCACUCUGAAGCGUAAUGAGGACCUUGAGCCUUCUGGAGCAGAGCUCUGCAACCCGGGGCACCCCAUCCCUGUCCCCCCCCCAGCAGCGCAGUGCUGGGACGUAUGGCAGAGCCUGCAGUGCCUCUCCUGACACUGUCGAUGUCCGUGGGACGGCCGUGACUCCCGCUGAGGGCAGAGCUCUGGCUGCAGAUCCCAGCUUGGGAGGCUCCAGAUUUGCUGCUCCCCACGCAAGGAUGGUGGAACGCGGAGCGUGGAGCUGCUGGGGGCCACAGUGGGGCAGCAGGAGCAGCUCCAGCUCUGUGUGCACCGAGGAUGUGGCUGCCAGGUGUUGGGAGGGCACAGUGGGGACCUCCGAGGAGGAGGAGGAGGAGGAGGAUGGCAGCGGGCAGGAUGGGGCCCCGCUCCUGUGGCAGUGCCCCUGGCAGGACAUGUCCCCAGGGCUGAUGAGGAGGGGGAGUCUGGAGUCGCUGGGAGCCAGGAUAUCCAGGCUGAGCCAGAGUGGGGCUGUGACCCCCUGCCCGGCCCCCUCCGGGCACCCAGCGCAGGGCAGGGGGGAUGCAUCCCACUGGGGCUCAAGCUCCAGGGCAAAGCCCUCAGUCACCACUGUGCAUGGUGGGGAUGGGGACGCUGGACAUCUCCGGAGACCCUCAGGCAGCUCAGCCAGCAGGAGCAGGGCCAGGGCCAUGGGACACUGCAGAUGGCAGGAGCCACCAGCACGCCGGGGGUGGCAUGGAGGGGACGUCACCCUCACUGCAGAGAAGGAAGGAGAUGGCGACGGGCGGAGGAGAGCUCUCUGCACCAAAGCAGCAGUGGGACCCACCAGGAGAUGCAGCCCCUGGGCAGAGGGGCAGCACGAGGUGUCCUGCCCAGGGCAUGCAGCCAAGCCCCGGUGGCAGCGUUGGAAGCAGAAGGCCAUCCUGUCCCAUAGGCUGGCAGCGCUGCGCCGGGCCCUGAGGAGCAGCCAGGAGGGGAUGCAGGAGCCAGGAGCUGGAGCUCAGGGCAUGCAGAGCGAUGGGGAUGGGGCCAGGUGUGUGCUGUGACCCCGCUCUGGGGUCCUAUGGGCAAUGGGGGAGUUCUGGGGUGUCCCACUGGGUGAUGCUCUCCUCUCUGCAGGGCACGUGCGUGGGAUUGUGUGGAUGUGGAGGAGGUGGUGAGCACUCUGAGAUGGGCAAAGGGGGGUGGCAGAGGGACAGGUUGGGGGGCAGCAGGGCAGGGGCUGGGCUGGCCAUGCCAUAAGAAGGGAGGAAGGAGUGGGAGGGAGGCGGAAGGGGGGUCCCUGUCUCAGCAGGGGCAGAAGGGCUGUGCUGAACGCCCAGGGAAGGUGAGGAGGAAAACGUUGGAUCUCAGAGAAGAGAAGAGGGAGCUGCAGGAGAGGCUCUGUGGGUUGGAGCUCCAGAUGCUCUCCAUGCUGCGGCAGAGGCAGGAGGCCCUGGGGCAGCUGCGGGCAGUGCUGCAGAAGGAGAGGAUGGCCACACUCAGGCAGCUGCAGGAGAGCCUGGAGAAGGUGAAUGGGACCAUCUGUGUCUGUCAGAACUGUCACCCAGAGGAGCUGGCAGCCCCAGGAGCCCUGAAGGAGCCACUGACCCCAGAGAGAGCCCUGCGGGAGGCAGCGACGUGUGUGUGGGAUCCAGCCCGGCCACCAUCUCCUUCCCCUUCUACACCUGGGUUGAGCCAUGCCACAGGUGCACAGAGAAGGGGUGAGCACCUGUGCCACCGCUCAGCCUCUUCCCUGCCCCCAAGCACUGUGCCCGGCCUCCAGCAGCAGCAGCAGCAGCAGCCAAGGAUUACAGCAACUGCCCAGUACUACAGCAUCAGUGCUAAGGAAGGGGGUGUAUCCUGUCUCUGAUGGUGAAAAGGACCAGCUAAUAACCUAGGUGCAAAAGCACACAGCGAAGAGGAUAAGAGUGUAGCAGAGAAGCUGAGCAAAUGUUCUUCAUCUGUGGAGGAGCUUACUGGAGUCCCCAGCCUGGAACACUUCUUAAUGGGUGACGAGUCAUAAAAUGUGUCUCAAAGUGAUGUUUCUGUAGAUGGAGUUAUAAAGCACCUCAACAAAAUAAACGGUGCCGGCUGAGCAGCACCGAGUGGUUUUCAGUUGAGCUCUUAAGGAAUUCAAGGAUGAAAUAGCUGAACUAUUAACUGCAUUAAGUCUACUGUGAAACCUCUCACUUAAAACAUUCUCACUAUAGGGGGCAAGAAAGCAGUGAGACCUUGAUUUUAAAAAAUGCUUUUGAGCAGAUCCAGGAAGAGUGGGUUGUUAAUGCUGAUGCCUAAAUGAGGUAGUAUGGAAGGGAAUUGGGGAGUGUGUUAGUGAGAUAUGACUUAUGGGAAAAGUCAACUUGGCUUUUGUGAAUGGGAGGACUACCUGAAGGGUCAGCGAGGGAGCAUAUAUCAAAGUGCUGAGAAAUCCAUGUGUGGUCUGCUUGAGUUUCUGAGAGUUUAACAGAUCCUUUGUUCCAAGGAUCUCAGAGAAACCUUACAGGAGCUCUGAGUUGCUAUGAGAAAGAAGGUGCUCCCAUAGGUAAGCCUGGGCUAAGGCUAGGAGUCAAAGGGAAGGAGACACAGGUCAGCCCUCAUGGUGAAUUCUAUCUUCCGUUCUGUCACCCUCUCUAUCAAUAUUAUGCAUUUCUUGUUUAAUUUGUUGCCCCUUCUCUCCUCUGCAGGGAGAGAAGUGAAGCACUUGGCCCUAUGCAUCCUUUCAGGGUUCUCAUUAGUAUGACUUCUUUCACUUGUCCAUUAAGACAAUCCCUUAUCAGUGCUGAAGGAUGCUGUCCUCCAGUUUUCCUCUUACAAAAGCCAUUCCAGAUCUUCCAUCACCCUCUUGUCCCGGGUGGUCUGAGGUGAGGGGAUUGAAACCGCAGUAUGACCGAACCAAUGAUUUAUACAGCAGCAGAACUGUGUUUCCCAUUGAUCAGCUAAUCUACCAUUCUCUGGGAGCUCUCCAUGGAGGCUGCCUGCCAUGUGUUAACAACACAGAUGGCCCAUUUGACAGUUUAGAUACCAUCUUACAAAUGGCCUUCCUCCACCUUUGCUUAGUUCUGGAGUCCUCUUGUCAUAAUGACUCACUGGAGUGCUCCUCUCCCAGACCUGCUUGCUGAUUGCCUCCCCGUGAUUUACAGCUCAACCUCAGCUGUUCCUACCUGACAUCCAAAGAGAUAUGCGCCAUCUCUCUCUCCUUGCACUUGUAAUUUCAUAGUGUUUGGGUUUACAUUCCUCUUCCAGAGCCACUUUGCAAGGUUGUCUGCUCUGUUGCUUCGCUCCUGCUUGGGAAGCAGGCUGAUUUCAUUAGUAAUAUGGCCAACUUCUGCAGAGCAGCCACCAGGUACUAAAUCAUGCUCAUGGUUGCACUAGGAAAGACUGAUGCCCAUGUGUUCUGACACAGGCUGUCUUUCACUGGACACAAUGCUGCUGUAGGUGGAGCUGCUUUAUUUGAUGCCUGAUGGGUUAGCUCCUUUAUAACGUUUCAGUGGUCAUUUGCUGUAGGACAUGGGUUCUCAAUGGAGGCCAGAGGAGAUUACCACUGAGCACAUCGCUCUGAACAGAAGCGGGCUACGUGUGCAGGCUCAAAGGAGAAGCACUGGUGAUGCAAUUAGGAAUAAAGCUCAAAGAGGUAUUAUUGUGAGACAUGAAUGUAGCUCUGUUGGGAUGGAACACUCUCUCUUUCUAAAGAAAGUGGAUGCCUGACCUUUGUUUCCAUCCACAAGGCGUUUCAUGCUGUUUUUCCAUUGGGAUAUUAACAGCUCCUCUGAAAUCAUUGAACUGAACUGUUCUAUACCAAGUGACAAACUACCUGUAAAAGAUCUCAGUGAAAGCCUCUUCCAGAGUCAAAGAAUUGAUUUCCAGAUAUCUCGGCACUUCUUCCAUCUUCUCAAAGACAGCAAUUCUCCAGGUCUCCUUGUUCUCUGGGACUCUCAAGAAUACCAAGAACAGGGGAGUACAUCGCAUCCAUGCACGCAGGCAGCAGUGCAAGGGGAGCAUGCAACCUGACUGUCAUCACUUUGUUCACCUCACGUGUUCAGGACCAGGACUGCUCACAGCCGGCAUCCUUUCUGCCGUGGUCCAUCACACCACAGUGGUUCAUGCAUCGAGAGCUCAUCCGUGCCAGUAAGGGGGAGAGAGAGAGACAGAGCACCCCUCAGGUCAUCCGUGCAUCCAGAUCCCUGUCCACGUUGGAAAUAUAUUUGAAGUGACAUAACUGACCCUGAAACAAAAGGUGUUUGCUGUUCAAAGAGAUGUCUGAAGCCCUCGUCUAGAUGAUGAUUGAUGGCAUGCACAGUGAACAGAGUGCUGAAGGAGCCCGGUGAAAUAGAAGCAAAGGCUUCUUUUUUUUUCUUAAUUUUUAAUUUUUAUUUGUUUAAUACGUGUAUGUAUGGAGCCUCCUCCUUGUAUGACCCAGGAAUACUUUCAGAUGAAGCCCUGUGGCUCUGAACUGCCUUCAGGACUGCUUGAUUUAUGGUGCCUCAUGUGAGCUUCUGACAGAUAGAGCUCCAGCUGGCCGCGUGCGCCCUCUCUUUGAGAUGUGAUCAAAAAUUCACGUUUGAACCUGUGCAACCAUCCGUUUCAGCACUAAUGACUGCAGUAGGUGAAGCCUGAAGUGUGACUUUGGGCUGAAGGUUUUUCUCCUUGCAAAUCAAGCAUGCGAACUGCCUGGUGCUCCCUCUGCUUGGUGCCAUAAGUUUGCUCCUACACAAAGUGCUGGGUUUGGACCACUCUGUAUUUGCAAUGGUGCACAUUCGAUCUCCGGUCACCUCGAUUCACUGUAUUGUUAACUUGUAGGAGGUAUUCAGAGAAACCUCCUGUCUCAAGGCAUCUGGAAGCCUGCCCUGGCUUCCUUUGCCUUUCCCUUGUCCCCACUUAAGCAGAGAGCUGAGUUAAGAUCUACAGGGUUAUGGAAGAGCUCCCCUCCCCUGCUUCAGAGCAAUUGCUGCACCACUCGUUUCACUGCGAUCUCAACAUUGAUUGCAAAGCUGGGUAUCAUUUACCCACCAGGUGUGCAAGGGUGGUACUACUGUGUGUAUCUCAUGUUCAAAUAGCAGAUGAGAAAGGUGUUUGAAAAGAAAACCAAAUGCAAUUUCCCCUUUCAUUUAUUUAUUUUUAUUAUUAUCUUUAGAAAUAGGGAAAGUUUUCAGAAAAAAAAAUGGAAGUGAUGGAUAAAACCCCAACAAGCCCUGUGUGUUCAGACAAAAACGUACCCAAUAAAUGAAAACAUUUCUCAGCUUUUACACUAAAGCCAUCCCCCAAUCCUCUGCCCCUUAGGAUUGCUUCUGAACGUGGCUCUGUGUUGGUCCCUAGCUCUUUGCCAGCAGCUCCCUGUCCCCUGCUUUGUGAGAUGUGCUCCAUCUCUGUGAGCCACACAGUGGGGCUGUUAUCCCACCUGAUGCAGGGAUGGCCGAGGCUGGUUGGGCUCCUCCUGAAGCUGCUGUUUGUGGCAAGCACAUCUCUCACGCUUGCAGCUCUUUGACCCCCUUGAGGUGUCUGUGGAGUCAGGUUGUGUCUCUACUCACCCCUUUCCAUUAAAGUCACUGAUGGAGGGUCUUCUGCUCAGUGUCCCCAUCUGUGAUGGAGCUGUGCAUGAUGUGGUGGUUGAUGGUGACUGGUUGUAGGGUCUGGCUCCAGUGAAGAGGGAAACUGUUUUGCUCAGAGGAUCAGUCACUGUGCCCAGGCCAUGCAUCUGUCCUCCUUUCCUUGCAAGCCAAUGCUCCUGAGCACCCAUCAAGGGUUAAUUUGCCUUUUGGUGCAAGUGAGAAGUUUGCAAGUACAGAACCCAUGCCAUAUGCUGAGGAUUUAGCUUUAUAAUCAUCUUGGCUUUAGCAGCAAAGCUGGGAAGAGAAGCUUUUUUGUAUUUAUUAUACAUAAGAAGAUCUCGG